GACGAACGGUGCGAACGUUGUUCGGAAUUACUGGGCGUAAAGCGCGCGUAGGCGGCUUUGUAAGUUAGAGGUGAAAGCCCGGGGCUCAACCCCGGAAUUGCCUUUAAGACUGCAUCGCUUGAAUCCGGGAGAGGUGAGUGGAAUUCCGAGUGUAGAGGUGAAAUUCGUAGAUAUUCGGAAGAACACCAGUGGCGAAGGCGGCUCACUGGACUGGUAUUGACGCUGAGGUGCGAAAGCGUGGGGAGCAAACAGG
rnacentral:rRNA from 1 species